UGACGAAUCUUCUGUGGAGUCUUUAUUCUUCAAGCAAAAGCUUGAAGUUUGGUGAUACUUGACUCUGAACAAACUUUCUUUUCCUCAUUAUUUAGAAUAUUUUUUGUUACCCAUCAUCCAGACUUAACGGUAUAUUAGCCACUUUUUAUAAAGCUCCAGCAAAACGUAUCACCAUGGGUGGUUUUACUUCUGGUUGAACUACGAUCAUCGAUAUAUCCUCUUGGACAAAAAUAUUU
rnacentral:lncRNA from 1 species